rnacentral:rRNA from 1 species
UUCUUUUCCCACCGGAGCUUGCUCCACCGGGAAAAGAGGAGUGGCGAACGGGUGAGUAACACGUGGGUAACCUGCCCAUCAGAAGGGGAUAACACUUGGAAACAGGUGCUAAUACCGUAUAACAAUCGAAACCGCAUGGUUUCGUUUUGAAAGGCGCUUUACGGUGCCGCUGAUGGAUGGACCCGCGGUGCAUUAGCUAGUUGGUGAGGUAACGGCUCACCAAGGCCACGAUGCAUAGCCGACCUGAGAGGGUGAUCGGCCACAUUGGGACUGAGACACGGCCCAAACUCCUACGGGAGGCAGCAGUAGGGAAUCUUCGGCAAUGGACGAAAGUCUGACCGAGCAACGCCGCGUGAGUGAAGAAGGUUUUCGGAUCGUAAAACUCUGUUGUUAGAGAAGAACAAGGGUGAGAGUAACUGUUCACCCCUUGACGGUAUCUAACCAGAAAGCCACGGCUAACUACGUGCCAGCAGCCGCGGUAAUACGUAGGUGGCAAGCGUUGUCCGGAUUUAUUGGGCGUAAAGCGAGCGCAGGCGGUUUCUUAAGUCUGAUGUGAAAGCCCCCGGCUCAACCGGGGAGGGUCAUUGGAAACUGGGAGACUUGAGUGCAGAAGAGGAGAGUGGAAUUCCAUGUGUAGCGGUGAAAUGCGUAGAUAUAUGGAGGAACACCAGUGGCGAAGGCGGCUCUCUGGUCUGUAACUGACGCUGAGGCUCGAAAGCGUGGGGAGCAAACAGGAUUAGAUACCCUGGUAGUCCACGCCGUAAACGAUGAGUGCUAAGUGUUGGAGGGUUUCCGCCCUUCAGUGCUGCAGCUAACGCAUUAAGCACUCCGCCUGGGGAGUACGACCGCAAGGUUGAAACUCAAAGGAAUUGACGGGGGCCCGCACAAGCGGUGGAGCAUGUGGUUUAAUUCGAAGCAACGCGAAGAACCUUACCAGGUCUUGACAUCCUUUGACCACUCUAGAGAUAGAGCUUCCCCUUCGGGGGCAAAGUGACAGGUGGUGCAUGGUUGUCGUCAGCUCGUGUCGUGAGAUGUUGGGUUAAGUCCCGCAACGAGCGCAACCCUUAUUGUUAGUUGCCAUCAUUUAGUUGGGCACUCUAGCAAGACUGCCGGUGACAAACCGGAGGAAGGUGGGGAUGACGUCAAAUCAUCAUGCCCCUUAUGACCUGGGCUACACACGUGCUACAAUGGGAAGUACAACGAGUCGCGAAGUCGCGAGGCUAAGCUAAUCUCUUAAAGCUUCUCUCAGUUCGGAUUGUAGGCUGCAACUCGCCUACAUGAAGCCGGAAUCGCUAGUAAUCGCGGAUCAGCACGCCGCGGUGAAUACGUUCCCGGGCCUUGUACACACCGCCCGUCACACCACGAGAGUUUGUAACACCCGAAGUCGGUGAGGUAACCUUUUUGGAGCCAGCCGCCUAAGGUGGGAUAGAUGAU